rnacentral:snRNA from 1 species
GUGCUUGCUUUGGCAGCACAUAUACUAAAAUUGGAACAAUACAGAGAAGAUUUGCAUGGCCCCUGUGCAAGGAUGACAUGCAAAUUCGUGAAGUGUUCCAUAUUUCU